UUAUUGUCCAAUUACAAGCUUUCUCAUUAUGACGUCCCCCAGCGCUUGGUCACAUCCGGUCGUAUAUAUGUUGCCACGAGUUAGCGGCGAAUUUGGAGAGUGUCCAUUUUGAGCAGCGAGUCGGCGUCUACGGUAUUUUUUUCCCCCUUAAAUCUCUUGAAGAGCCCACCGUCAGAAUGGCAGACGCUGAGAAUCUCCUCAUGGAGACAUCAGACCAGAACGGCAACGAGGGAGAGGAGGACCAGAACGGAGCCGAACAGGAGCUGAUGGGUGGUGAGGAUGUCCAGGACGACCAGGAUGUCCAGGACGACCAGGACGGCCAGGACAAUGGAACAGAUGGAGGCAAAAUUGACGCCAGCAAAGGAGAGGAGGAUGCUGGUAAAAUGUUCGUGGGCGGCCUCAGCUGGGACACGAGUAAAAAGGACCUGAAGGAUUACUUCAGUAAGUUCGGCGAGGUGUCGGACUGCACCAUCAAGAUGGACUCCAACACUGGCCGAUCCCGAGGUUUUGGCUUUGUCCUCUUCAAAGAGUCCUCCAGCGUGGACAAGGUGCUGGAGCAGAAGGAACACAGACUGGACGGGCGUCCCAUUGACCCCAAGAAAGCGAUGGCCAUGAAGAAGGAGCCCGUCAAGAAGAUCUUUGUUGGGGGUUUGAACCCUGAGGCGACUGAGGACACCAUCAGGGAAUAUUUCGGGGCUUUCGGAGAGAUCGAAACCAUUGAGCUUCCCAUCGACCCCAAAUCAAAGAAAAGGAGGGGUUUCAUCUUCAUCACAUACAAAGAUGAAGCCAGCGUCAAGAAGUGUUUGGAGAAGAAAUACCACAACAUCCAGGGUGGCAGGUGUGAGCUGAAGAUCGCCCAGCCAAAGGAGGUGUACCAGCAGCAGCAGUAUGGAGCGGGACGUGGCGGCGGCGGUGGUUAUGGAGGUCGGGGAGGCAGGGGCCGUGGAGGUCAGAACCAGGGCUGGAACCAGGGAUAUGGAAACUACUGGAACCAGGGAUACGGUAACCAAAACUAUGGCGGCUAUGGUGGCGGCUAUGGCAACUAUGACUACUCUUCUGGUUACUAUGGAUAUGGUCCCGGAUAUGACUACAGUAAGUAUACACACAUAAACGGUCAGGUACAGUUUGUGUGUAGAAAAUGGUUACAUGGACUUCAUUAUUGUGAUUUGGGAUGCACCCGUCAAGUUUUCUCAACCGAUACAGAAACUUAAGGUACAGGCUGAUUCUGAGUACAAAGGUGCUAUUUUUAAAUAAAAAAAAUAAAAAUUAAUCUGUAUCUCAUAGAUACAAGCAAAUUUAAAAAUAAGAGUGAAUCAUUUUAAGUGUGUGUAACUAUUUCUUGGUGAACAGCUGGACGCAGUGACUACGCAAAGCUUCCUGAGGUCUUGUCAUAGUAUCUGUACAGAAACCACCAUAUCUGGCAGCAUAGAAAUACUGGACAAACUGUUUAUUAGAUGGUUACAGCAUGUAUACAAACAUGUUAAUAUGUCUGCUUUAGAGGGGGUGAUAGAUGUAUUUUUAUUUUAUUUUUUUCAUGUUGGACGGAGCAAGGCUAGCAGCUUCCCCCUGCUUCCAGGCUUCUAGCUAAGCUAGCAAUGUCCAGACUCUAACCCUGUACUUAACACACAGACAUGAGAGUGAUAUGAAACAGUGAGUAGAUUGAAUAGCGCUGUCUUUGCUGCAUGCUGAGGGACUGAGUCGGUCUGAAUGGAAACCUGUCUGUGUUUGACCCGUCUGUCCUCUCUGCCCGACAGACCAGGGCAAUGCAAGCUAUGGGAAAACCCCAAGGCGAGGGGGGGCACACCAGACCAGCUACAAGCCAUACUGAUGAUCACAUGGUGGUGCAAGGACUCCAGUGAGACCGACGGCUGGACGGACACACUGGGCCGGACUCGACCUUUUAUGACAGAAGACCAUUUGUACAGAAAACAUCUGAAAUGUAACUUUUCUUUCUUCUUUUUUUUCCCCUGUUUUGUUUUUUUUUUGUUUUUGUUUUUUUUUAAUCUUAUCAUUUUAAGGUUUUUCCCCUUUGGUGUGUUUUUUUUUCUUUCUUUUCCUCCACAUUUCCAUUGAUGGAAGUGUAAUUUUUACUGUACUUUUUGGUACCUGUUUUGAUUCUAAUGUAUUGUAAGGGUUGUAUUUUACAUGUUUGCUGGCUUUACAGGUUGAAAAUCUUGGCGCUGUAAAGGAGCUUUUUGACAAAUAAAAACCGUUUUCAGUACUUUUUUUUUUUUUUUUUUUCCCCACUUAUGCUUCCAGGUCUGGGGCGGAAGAUUUAAAAAGUUGUUGAAUGGGUUUAGGAUUAAAAUUCAGUUGUCAAAUUUAACUUCGAUAUUGAUUUCUCGUUUUUUGUAGACGCACAAUCCAAUGAUCUGUAAUAAUGAAGGAAGGUUGUUUUCAAUAACUUUUAAAGGUUAUCUGCGUAACAAGAAUUCUGCCUCACUUCCUAAUUUUUUUUAAAUUUUUUUUUUUUGCACACAUUUGGUUCCUCCCCCUUUUUUAAUUUUAUUUUUUAAAUGUGAAAAUCCAGUGGAUCAAGAGAAUUUUAACUCCUUAAAACUGAAACUGCUGCCUGCAAGCUUCUUUAUAACAGGAUGUUCUUAAUUUACCAAGAAGUAACAUCAGAAAGUAUACAGAUGUGUGGGAUGUAAUGGGGAAAAGUGAUUCGACCACAUGUAACUGUGGACUUCCUGUUAACUCUACACACAUUUUUUUAAAAUAACAAGCAAAUUGUUUCUAUGCUGGUUUAGUUUGUGUUCGUCAAGUGCCACUGGUUUUUAGAAACAACCGCUCUGAAGUUAAAUGUCUGCUUAGUUUUUUCUGGACAGAUUUCAGGCCACUGGAGUCGUCUCAGUUAGUGUUUAUUAGUAAUAAACAUGCUCGUUUGUAA